AGAGUGUGAUCCUGUCCAGUGCCGCGGAGAAGCCUCUGGAGCUCAGAGGGCCCUAUGACAUCACCAACCUGUAUCCUUCCUAUUGGUUCAGACACAAACUGUAGUCUUCAACAAAAACUACAGUACUACAGUACUCGUUUCCUCCACCUGUGGAUCCGUUGUUCUACACGCAGAAACCAGGAAGACGGCGAGCGGGAUCAUCUACGCGGUGAAGAGCUGCAGCCAUUGGCCGCCUGCAGACUGUAAGCCCCGCCUCCAUCCCUUGAGACAGAACAGCAGCUGGUUAAUGAGUGAUAAAUGUUCCAGCUGUGCUUCUGUGUUUCUACCUGAACAGGUGAAGCUCCCGCAGCCAAGAG